rnacentral:rRNA from 1 species
UUGUCGAAUCCUGCACAGCAGAACGACCCGCGAACGUGUUGUUACACAUCCGUAGGGGUGCGUCUGGCCUCGGCCGUCGCUCUCCCUGCUGUGGGGACGGGUUGUGGGCGGAUGGCUCCGUCAUCCUACCGUGUCCCGUCCCCUUAAACAACCCCCGGUGCGAGAAGCGCCAAGGAAUCGAAAAGGAAAGAAAUGAAGGAACAUGGCCCCCGUCGCGUGCCGGGAACGGUGUUCGCACGGGAGGCCUGGUAUCCUCUGAAAACAAAAAAUGACUCUCGGCAACGGAUAUCUCGGCUCUCGCAUCGAUGAAGAACGUAGCGAAAUGCGAUACUUGGUGUGAAUUGCANAAUCCCGUGAACCAUCGAGUCUUUGAACGCAAGUUGCGCCCGAAGCCUUCGGGCCGAGGGCACGUCUGCCUGGGUGUCAUGUGCAUAGUCGCCCCAGCCCCCACACCCAUCCCGGGUACGGGGUCCGGGGCGGAAAUUGGUCUCCCGUGCGCUUCCGCUCGCGGUUGGCCUAAAUCCGAGUUGUUGGCGACNAGUGCCACGGCAAGCGGUGGUUGAACGACCUUCGGAUAUUGUCGUGAGCGAAGUCGCCUUCUUAUCGACCCUUAUCGUCCCUAUCGCGACCCCAGGUCAGGCGGGAACACCCGCUGAGUUUAAGCAUAUCAAU